AGAUCAAGAAGCCUCAUUGAUUUAUCCAAUAGAUCUUCAACCCAUUUUGCAUGUAGAUUUUGGGAGAGGGCAUGAAGGUUUUGAGGCAAGUUGAGAAGAUCAUCUAUGCACUUGUACAAUUUCUCCAAACCUUUUAGACCAUUGCUCACUGUUGUUGGUGCAACAGAUACUUCCAAUGAUUUGAGCUUGUUUAGCUCCUCUUCAACUCUCUGGAUGGAAAACAACCAUGGGAGGAGACAAGAUGAGCAAUGGCCUAAUUAAAUCAGCAUGUGAUUGCACAGCUGGAUCUUUUUGGAACUUGUAAACCUGCUCCACAUUUGGCCAACAAAAGGUUGUACUGAUUACUUUCAUUAAUCCUCGUAGUUAUAAGAUGAACACGAGGAAUAUAAUUAUCAUGUAAGUGUUUGCAUGAUUUGCCUCUUUCUGUCUCCAGAAAUGGUGCCAAUACUGUGACAAAAAACUUUUCUAUUGAUAUUAUUUGAUUGAAGAUGCAUCAA